rnacentral:rRNA from 1 species
GUGAAUCAUCGAGUCUUUGAACGCACAUUGCACUCUCUGGUAUUCCGGAGAGUAUGCUUGUUUGAGUAUCUGUAAACAUCUCAAAUCUCUCGACUUUCGAGUCUGAGAGAAUUGGACUUGAGCAAUCCCAACUCUUUGCAAAAAGAGGCGGGUUGCUUGAAAUGCAGGUGCAGCUGGACAUUCUUCUGAGCUAAAAGCAUAUUUAUUUAGUCCCGUCAAACGGAUUAUUACUUUUGUCUCUAGCUAAUAUAAAGGUCGAAUGCGCUAUAUGCUGACUGAUGCAGGAUUACCAAGUUUUAACUUAGCUAAAACUUGUAAACUCGAUCUCAAAUCAAGUAAGACUACCCGCUGAACUUAAGCAUAUCAAUAAGGCGAGG